rnacentral:tRNA from 1 species
GGUAGUGUGGCCGAGGAGUAGGCAGCGGCUUGUAAAGCCGCCCACAGGGACAAUGUCUCUCAUUACCA